rnacentral:tRNA from 1 species
GAGGGUGUAGCUCAGUGGUAGAGUGUAUGCUUUGCAUGCACAAGGUCCUGGAUUCAAUCCCCAGUACCGUCC